rnacentral:rRNA from 1 species
UGCUUCGCUGACGAGUGGCGGACGGGUGAGUAAUGUCUGGGAAACUGCCUGAUGGAGGGGGAUAACUACUGGAAACGGUAGCUAAUACCGCAUAACGUCGCAAGACCAAAGAGGGGGACCUUCGGGCCUCUUGCCAUCAGAUGUGCCCAGAUGGGAUUAGCUAGUAGGUGGGGUAACGGCUCACCUAGGCGACGAUCCCUAGCUGGUCUGAGAGGAUGACCAGCCACACUGGAACUGAGACACGGUCCAGACUCCUACGGGAGGCAGCAGUGGGGAAUAUUGCACAAUGGGCGCAAGCCUGAUGCAGCCAUGCCGCGUGUAUGAAGAAGGCCUUCGGGUUGUAAAGUACUUUCAGCGGGGAGGAAGGCGAUGUGGUUAAUAACCGCGUCGAUUGACGUUACCCGCAGAAGAAGCACCGGCUAACUCCGUGCCAGCAGCCGCGGUAAUACGGAGGGUGCAAGCGUUAAUCGGAAUUACUGGGCGUAAAGCGCACGCAGGCGGUCUGUCAAGUCGGAUGUGAAAUCCCCGGGCUCAACCUGGGAACUGCAUCCGAAACUGGCAGGCUUGAGUCUCGUAGAGGGGGGUAGAAUUCCAGGUGUAGCGGUGAAAUGCGUAGAGAUCUGGAGGAAUACCGGUGGCGAAAGGCGGCCCCCUGGACAAA